GACGAACGCUGGCGGCGUGCUUAAUACAUGCAAGUCGAACGGAAAGGCCAUGCUCUUGUGGGGUGCUCGAUUGGCGAACGGGUGAGUAAAACGUGAGUAAACUGCCCCUGUCUUUGGGAUAACUUUAGGAAACUGGGGCUAAUACCGCAUAGGAGCUCCUGCUGCACGGUGGGGGUUGGAAAGUUUCGGCUGUUCGGGAUGGACUCGCGGCUUAUCCGCUUGUUGGUGGGGUAGGGGCUGACCAAGUUUUUGACGGGUAGCCGGCCUGAGAGGGUGACCGGCCACAUGGGGACUGAGGGACGGCCCAGACUCCUACGGGAGGCAGCAGGGGAGAAUAUUGCACAGUGGGCGGAAGCCUGAUGCAGCAACGCCGCGUGCGGGAUGACGGCCUUCGGGUGGUAAACCGCUUUCGCCUGUGACGAAGCGUGAGUGACGGUAAUGGGUAAAGAAGCACCGGCUAACUACGUG
rnacentral:rRNA from 1 species